rnacentral:rRNA from 1 species
AUUGAACGCUGGCGGCAGGCCUAACACAUGCAAGUCGAACGGUAACGGGAGGAAGCUUGCUUCUAUGCCGACGAGUGGCGGACGGGGGAGUAAUGCUUGGGAAUCUGCCCAGGUAGUGGGGGGUAACUUGGGGAACCUCAAGCUAAUACCGCAUAAUUCCUACGGGAGAAGCAGGGGAUCUUCGGACCUUGCGCUAUUAGAUGAGCCUAUGUGGGAUUAGCUAGUUGGUGGGGUAAUGGCUUACCAAGACUACAAUCCGUAGCUGGUUUGAGAGGAUGAUCAGCCACACUGGGACUGAGAUACGGCCCAGACUCCUACGGGAGGCAGCAGUAGGGAGUAUUGGAUAAUGGGCGUAAGCCUGAUCCAGCAAUGCCGCGUGUGUGAAGAAGGCCUGUGGGUUGUAAAGCACUUUCAAUUGGGAAGAAAGAUUUAGAGUUAAUACCUCUUAAUAUUGACGUUACCAAUAGAAGAAGCACCGGUUAACUCUGUGCCAGUAGCCGCGGUAAUACAGAGGGUGCGAGCGUUAAUCGGAAUUACUGGGCGUAAAGAGUACGUAGGUGGUUAAAUCAGUCGGAUGUGAAAGCCCCAGGUUUAACUUGGGAAUUGCAUUCGAUACUGUUUGACUAGAGUACGGUAGAGAGAAGCGGAAUUCCUAGUGUAGCGGUGAAAUGCGUAGAUAUUAGGAAGAACACCGGGGGAAGGCGCGGUCUUGAUCAAUACUGACACUGAGGUACGAAAGCGUGGGGAGCAAACAGGAUUAGAUACCCUGGUAGUCCACGCCCUAAACGAUGAGAACUAGAUGUUGGGGGAAUUUAUAAUCCUUUAGUAUCGUAGCUAACGCGAUAAGUUCUCCGCCUGGGGAGUACGGCCGCAAGGUUAAAACUCAAAUGAAUUGACGGGGGCCCGCACAAGCGGUGGAGCAUGUGGUUUAAUUCGAUGCAAUGCGAAGAACCUUACCUGGCCUUGACAUCCUUGGAAUUUUACAGAAACGUAAGUGCGCCUUCGGGGCAAGGGACAGGUGCUGCACGGCUGUCGUCAGCUCGUGUCGUGAGAUGUUGGGUUAAGUCCCGCAACGAGCGCAACCCUUAGCCUUAUUUGCCAGACGGUAUGGUGGGAACUCUAAGGAGACUGCCGGUGACAAACCGGAGGAAGGUGGGGACGACGUCAAGUCAUCAUGGCCCUUACGACCUGGGCUACACACGUGCUACAAUGGCCGGUACAGAGGGCUGCAAUACCGCGAGGUGGAGCGAAUCUCAGAAAACCGGUCGUAGUCCGGAUUGGAGUCUGCAACUCGACUCCAUGAAGUCGGAAUCGCUAGUAAUCGCGAAUCAGAAUGUCGCGGUGAAUACGUUCCCGGGCCUUGUACACACCGCCCGUCACACCAUGGGAGUGGAUUGCACCAGAAGUAGGUAGCUUAACCUUCGGGAGAGCGCUUACCACGGUGUGGUUCAUGACUGGGGUG